rnacentral:rRNA from 1 species
AGUGAACGCUGGCGGUAGGCCUAACACAUGCAAGUCGAACGGCAGCACAGUAAGAGCUUGCUCUUACGGGUGGCGAGUGGCGGACGGGUGAGGAAUACAUCGGAAUCUACUUUUUCGUGGGGGAUAACGUAGGGAAACUUACGCUAAUACCGCAUACGACCUACGGGUGAAAGCAGGGGAUCUUCGGACCUUGCGCGAUUGAAUGAGCCGAUGUCGGAUUAGCUAGUUGGCGUGGUAAAGGCCCACCAAGGCGACGAUCCGUAGCUGGUCUGAGAGGAUGAUCAGCCACACUGGAACUGGGACACGGUCCAGACUCCUAAGGGAGGCAGCAGUGGGGAAUAUUGGACAAUGGGCGCAAGCCUGAUCCAGCCAUACCGCGUGGGUGAAGAAGGCCUUCGGGUUGUAAAGCCCUUUUGUUGGGAAAGAAAAGCAGCAGGUUAAUACCCCGCUGUUCUGACGGUACCCAAAGAAUAAGCACCGGCUAACUUCGUG